UACGUAGGGUGCAAGCGUUAAUCGGAAUUACUGGGCGUAAAGCGUGCGCAGGCGGUUAUGUAAGACAGUUGUGAAAUCCCCGGGCUCAACCUGGGAACUGCAUCUGUGACUGCAUAGCUAGAGUACGGUAGAGGGGGAUGGAAUUCCGCGUGUAGCAGUGAAAUGCGUAGAUAUGCGGAGGAACACCGAUGGCGAAGGCAAUCCCCUGGACCUGUACUGACGCUCAUGCACGAAAGCGUGGGGAGCAAGCGGG
rnacentral:rRNA from 1 species